AGGAUUAGAUAUCCUGGUAGUCCACGCCGUAAACGAUGUCUACUAGCCGUUGGGACUCUUGAAGUCUUAGUGGCGCAGCUAACGCACUAAGUAGACCGCCUGGGGAGUACGGCCGCAAGGUUAAAACUCAAAUGAAUUGACGGGGGCCCGCACAAGCGGUGGAGCAUGUGGUUUAAUUCGACGCAACGCGAAGAACCUUACCUGGCCUUGACAUGCAGAGAACUUUCCAGAGAUGGAUUGGUG
rnacentral:rRNA from 1 species